rnacentral:rRNA from 1 species
UACGGAGGGUGCAAGCGUUAUCCGGAUUCACUGGGUUUAAAGGGUGCGUAGGUGGGUUGGUAAGUCAGUGGUGAAAUCUCCGAGCUUAACUCGGAAACUGCCAUUGAUACUAUUAAUCUUGAAUAUUGUGGAGGUCAGCGGAAUAUGUCAUGUAGCGGUGAAAUGCUUAGAGAUGACAUAGAACACCAAUUGCGAAGGCAGCUGGCUACACAUAUAUUUGACACUGAGGCACGAAAGCGUGGGGGAUCAAACAGG